AAUACACGGAUGCACUAUUGAUGUACUUCGGCCAACACCCAUAAUUUGAUGGUCUGUUGAGUUUCUACAGGAAUACACUCUCAGUGAAUUCAUGUUCUGUCUGUAUUUCCUUUGGUGAACCCAUUCUUUGAUUUGCACCCCUGAUGAAGUCCUAAGGGACGAAACGCGUUGGGUUUCAACGAUUGUGCGUUUCCGUAAAAACAGUGAACAGAUCAUACAUACUUUCUCAUGCUGA